rnacentral:rRNA from 1 species
CCUAGUAGCGGCGAGCGAAGCGGGAAGAGCUCAAAUUUAUAAUCUGGCACCUUCGGUGUCCGAGUUGUAAUCUCUAGAAAUGUUUUCCGCGUUGGACCGCACACAAGUCUGUUGGAAUACAGCGGCAUAGUGGUGAGACCCCCGUAUAUGGUGCGGACGCCCAGCGCUUUGUGAUACAUUUUCGAAGAGUCGAGUUGUUUGGGAAUGCAGCUCAAAUUGGGUGGUAAAUUCCAUCUAAAGCUAAAUAUUGGCGAGAGACCGAUAGCGAACAAGUACCGUGAGGGAAAGAUGAAAAGCACUUUGGAAAGAGAGUUAACAGUACGUGAAAUUGUUGGAAGGGAAACGCUUGAAGUCAGACUUGCUUGCCGAGCAAUCGGUUUGCAGGCCAGCAUCAGUUUUCCGGGAUGGAUAAUGGUAGAGAGAAGGUAGCAGUUUCGGCUGUGUUAUAGCUCUCUGCUGGAUACAUCUUGGGGGACUGAGGAACGCAGUGUGCCUUUGGCGGGGGUUUCGACCUCUCACACUAGGAUGCUG